rnacentral:rRNA from 1 species
UACAGAGGUCUCAAGCGUUGUUCGGAUUCAUUGGGCGUAAAGGGUGUGUAGGUGGCGCCGUAAGUCGGGUGUGAAAUCUCGGGGCUUAACUCCGAAACUGCAUUCGAUACUGCCGUGCUUGAGGACUGGAGAGGAGACUGGAAUUUACGGUGUAGCGGUGAAAUGCGUAGAUAUCGUAAGGAAGACCAGUGGCGAAGGCGGGUCUCUGGACAGUUCCUGACGCUGAGGCACGAAGGUCAGGGGAGCAAACAGG